AGGUCUCGGCCACACUUGGUUUGAGCCAGGGCCCAAAUUCCUCAGGGAGGCAACCCUUGGGAAUUUUCCGCAAUUAACGAAAGUUCGACGGAGCACCGCCGAGUGAGUCAUGAAAGUUUUCGGAUUGUAAAACUCUGUUGUUAGGGAAGAACAAGUACCGUUCGAAUAGGACGGUACCUUGACGGUACCUAACCAGAAAGCCACGGCUAACUACGUGCCAGCAGCCGCGGUAAUACGUAGGUGGCAAGCGGUGUCCGGAAUUUUUGGGCGUAAAGCGCGCGCAGGCGGUUGGUUAAGUAUGAUGUGAAAGCCCCCGGCUCAACCGGGGAGGGUCAUUGGAAACUGGGGAACUUGAGUGCAGAAGAGGAUUGUGGAAUUCCACGUGUAGCGGUGAAAUGCGUAGAGAUGUGGAGGAACACCAGUGGCGAAGGCGACUCUCUGGUCUGUAACUGACGCUGAGGCGCGAAAGCGUGGGGAGCGAACAGGAUUAGAUACCCUGGUAGUCCACGCCGUAAACGAUGAGUGCUAAGUGUUAGAGGGUUUCCGCCCUUUAGUGCUGCAGCAAACGCAUUAAGCACUCCGCCUGGGGAGUACGGUCGCAAGACUGAAACUCAAAGGAAUUGACGGGGGCCCGCACAAGCGGUGGAGCAUGUGGUUUAAUUCGAAGCAACGCGAAGAACCUUACCAGGUCUUGACAUCCUCUGACAACCCUAGAGAUAGGGCUUCCCCUUCGGGGGCAGAGUGACAGGUGGUGCAAAGUUGUCGUCAGCUCGUGUCGUGAGAUGUUGGGUUAAGUCCCGCAACGAGCGCAACCCUUGAUCUUAGUUGCCAGCAUUCAGUUGGGCACUCUAAGGUGACUGCCGUGGACAAACCGGAGGAAGGUUUGGAUGACGUCAAAUCAUCAUGCCCCUUAUGACCUGGGCUACACACGUGGGACAAUGGGCAGAACAAAGGGCAGCGAAGCCGCGAGGCUCCGCCAAUCAAACAAAUCUGUACUCAGUUCGGAUCGCAGUCUGCAACUCGACUGCGUGAAGCUGGAAUCGCUAGUGAUCGCGGAUCAGCGUGCCGCGGUGAAUACGUUCCCGGGCCUUGUACACACCGCCCGUCACACCACGAGAGUAUGUAACACCCGAAGUCGGUGAGGUAACCUCCUGG
rnacentral:rRNA from 1 species